rnacentral:rRNA from 1 species
GACGAACGCUGGCGGCGUGCUUAACACAUGCAAGUCGAACGGAAAGGCCCUGCUUUUGUGGGGUGCUCGAGUGGCGAACGGGUGAGUAAAACGUGAGUAACCCGCCCUUGACUUUGGGAUAACUUCACGAAACUGCGGCUAAUACCGGAUAGGAGCUACUGCUGCGUGGUGUGGGUUGGAAAGUUUCGGCGGUUGGGGAUGGACUCGCUGCUUAUCAGCUUGUUGGUGGGGUAGUGGCUUACCAAGGCUUUGACGGGUAGCCGGCCUGAGCGGGUGACCGGCCACAAGGGGACUGCGAGACGGAGCAGACUGCUACGGGAGGCAGCAGUGGGGAAUAUGGCACAAUGGGCGGAAGCCUGAGGCAGAAACGCCGCGUGCGGGAUGACGGGCUUCGGGGUGUAAACCGCUUUCGCCGGUGACGAAGAGUGAGUGACGGUAAUGGGUAAAGAAGCACCGGCUAACUACGUG